rnacentral:rRNA from 1 species
AACGAACGCUGGCGGCAGGCUUAACACAUGCAAGUCGAACGCACCGCAAGGGGAGUGGCAGACGGGUGAGUAACGCGUGGGAACAUACCCUUUUCUACGGAAUAGCUCUGGGAAACUGGAAUUAAUACCGUAUACGCCCUACGGGGGAAAGAUUUAUCGGGGAAGGAUUGGCCCGCGUUGGAUUAGCUAGUUGGUGGGGUAAAGGCCUACCAAGGCGACGAUCCAUAGCUGGUCUGAGAGGAUGAUCAGCCACAUUGGGACUGAGACACGGCCCAAACUCCUACGGGAGGCAGCAGUGGGGAAUAUUGGACAAUGGGCGCAAGCCUGAUCCAGCCAUGCCGCGUGAGUGAUGAAGGCCUUAGGGUUGUAAAGCUCUUUCACCGAUGAAGAUAAUGACGGUAGUCGGAGAAGAAGCCCCGGCUAACUUCGUGCCAGCAGCCGCCGUAA